UGUGCUGAAGGCUAUAUGUGCAGGAUUCAAGGAGUCUACCGAACCUCCUGUGUGCUUGAGUGGAGAUAUUGAAACAAAUGAGUGCCUUAAAUCAAAUGGUGGUUGUUGGCAGCACCCAAAAUUAAAUAUCACAGCCUGCAAGGAUACCUUCAGAGGUAGACUCUGUGUAUGCCCUAUAGUGAAUAAUGUCCCAUAUCAAGGAGAUGGGUACACAUCCUGU